UAAGUACACCCUCCGUCCGGAAUUACUUGUCAUAGAAAUGUACAAAAUGGAUGUAUCUAGAACUAAAAUGCAUCUAGAUACAUUCAUUUCUCUGACAAGUAUUUCCGGACGGAGGGAGUAGCUG
rnacentral:pre_miRNA from 1 species